AUGGCGACGGCUCGGCCGCCCGCCCCGGCCGCCGGCGGCGGUAGCCACCGCGCGGCGCCCUUUCUCUUUCUCCCUCCCGUCCUCUUCUCCCGUCUGUGGCAGAGAGGGAGAGACACAGCUGUGCAUCCUGUGCUCCCCUUGGCGUUCUGUUACCAGACGGGCGACAACGAUGGCUCAGCCGCCGAAGACGGCGCCGAAGGCUACCCCACUGGCGCCGGCCACUGUUUCCAUCUACCACCGCCUGUUUUCACCCUAUGGAGGAUGCCGUUGGGCAGUCUGCUGUCACCCAACUACGAUGCGCUCAAACUACAAAAGUAUAGGUUGGUAAAUAAUUUGGAAGUUGAGACGUUCGGCCCAGGUCGUUCUAAUGCUGAGAGGAUAAAUGUGUCUUCAACUGCAAUAGUGCUUGAUGAGUUAGAGGGUAAGAUGCAGGAGAAGGGUUACAGGGGUGAACUAGGUAGUACCAGAGUCUUUGAUGCUCACGAAGAGGAUGGGAAACGUGAGAUGGUUGGAGUGCACAGCGAGUUGUUGGCAUUGGGGUUUGGUUUGCUGGUUAUCCCCAAGGCGAUGACCAUCAGGGUGAUGAAGAACCUGAGGGUGUGCGAAGAUCCAACCCAUCUUACAAAAAUCCAGAAGGUUCAAGUCUCUGGCUUUUGGCACUUCGUAAUUCAUACCCUGGAAUCAAAACCCUCUGCUUUGCAAGUACUGUCACAUUGUUCAUCAACGAUCUCCAGGGUUCAGAAGGUGACCACCAAAAUGUCGGAGAAAGUGGCAGCUGGAAUGCUGUUACUUGGAGUUGUGAAGAGCACUGACUAUUUUACAAGCUCAUCAGCUAACUCAAAGGUUGUCGAGCUAUCAGGUACUAAAGUCAUAUGCAUAAUAAACUCGCUGCCGUACUACUACGCUGCUAGUGAGCCAUGGCCCAUGUGUAUGCAAGGGCAGUGCACCCUUCUAUUACUUGAGGGGUCCAGCAAAGGCAUUUUGGUUGUGCCCUUUCUCGCACUGAACCGGUCCAUCGAUGGAGCAGUCAAAGAAGCAAUGCCGCGUGAGCACAUUCCCAGUGGAGCUCAAAAUCUGCAGCUUAACUUUCAGAUGGCCCCUUCCAUGAAGUUAAUUCAAGUUCAAAGAUGUACAACGCUUAAAAGGCAAUUUCCCCCCACCGUUCCUCUCCAAUCCCUAAGAGAGGCGAUCUCCGGGUGCAUCGUGCCGCCACCUCUCCUCCGUCGCUGUGAUGGUUUCUUCUCUAGGGCGCUGCGCCGCUGCCUUGAUGACCUCCCGUCUGCGAUAACGACAUGCUAG
rnacentral:rRNA from 1 species